rnacentral:rRNA from 1 species
UACAGGGGGUGCAAACGUUGCUCGGAAUCAUUGGGCGUAAAGCGCACGUAGGCGGUCUGUUUAUGUCGGAUGUGAAAGCCCUCGGCUCAACUGAGGAAGUGCAUCCGAAACUGGCAGGCUAGAGUACUAAAGAGGGUCGCGGAAUUCCCGGUGUAGAGGUGAAAUUCGUAGAUAUCGGGAGGAACACCGGUGGCGAAGGCGGCGACCUGGGUA